GAUGAACGCUGGCGGCGUGCCUAAUACAUGCAAGUCGAGCGAACGGACGAGAAGCUUGCUUCUCUGAUGUUAGCGGCGGACGGGUGAGUAACACGUGGAUAACCUACCUAUAAGACUGGGAUAACUUCGGGAAACCGUAGCUAAUACCGGAUAAUAUUUUGAACCGCAUGGUUCAAUAGUGAAAGACGGUCUUGCUGUCACUUAUAGAUGGAUCCGCGCUGCAUUAGAUAGUUGGUAAGGUAACGGCUUACCAAGGCAACGAUGCAUAGCCGACCUGAGAGGGUGAUCGGCCACACUGGAACUGAGACACGGUCCAGACUCCUACGGGAGGCAGCAGUAGGGAAUCUUCCGCAAUGGGCGAAAGCCUGACGGAGCAACGCCGCGUGAGUGAUGAAGGUCUUCGGAUCGUAAAACUCUGUUAUUAGGGAAGAACAUAUGUGUAAGUAACUGUGCACAUCUUGACGGUACCUAAUCAGAAAGCCACGGCUAACUACGUG
rnacentral:rRNA from 1 species